rnacentral:rRNA from 1 species
UACGUAGGGGGCAAGCGUUAUCCGGAUUUACUGGGUGUAAAGGGAGCGUAGACGGUAUGGCAAGUCUGAAGUGAAAGCCCAGGGCUUAACCCUGGGACUGCUUUGGAAACUGUUAGACUAGAGUGCUGGAGAGGUAAGUGGAAUUCCUAGUGUAGCGGUGAAAUGCGUAGAUAUUAGGAGGAACACCAGUGGCGAAGGCGGCUUACUGGACAGUAACUGACGUUGAGGCUCGAAAGCGUGGGGAGCAAACA